UACGGAGGAUGCAGGCGUUAUCCGGAUUUAUUGGGUUUAAAGGGUGCGCAGGUUGUUUGAUAAGUCAGUGGUGAAAGUCUGUCGCUUAACGGUAGGAUUGCCAUUGAUACUGUUGGACUUGAAUAUGGAUGAGGUAGGCGGAAUGUGUAGUGUAGCGGUGAAAUGCAUAGAUAUUACACAGAACACCGAUUGCGAAGGCAGCUUACUAAUCCAUCAUUGACGCUGAGGCACGAAAGCGUGGGGAUCAAACAGGA
rnacentral:rRNA from 1 species